UCACAAAUUUAUGAUUUUUUUAAUUUUUGCAAGUUGUUGUGAACUUUUUAUUGAACUCUUUUCAAAUAAGCAACUCUAUAAUUGUUUUUGCCGCAUGUACAUUUUAGUAUAUUAAAUGGUUGUGUAAUUUUUAUUUAGCUCUUUUCAAAUGAGCAACUCUGAAAUUGUUUUUGUCGCAUGUAAAUUGUAGUGUAUCAAAACAAGUUUACAUAUUUAUAUAUAUUUUUGAGUUCUUAGAUUCAAGACCACGCGUUUUGUCUCCAACAAUUUGUCUGAAGUAUUAUAAUUUAAAUGCACUUCGAUGUUUAUGUAUAAUUUCAAAAUGUUUUUCGUACUGUUAUUUAUUAUAUAAACAUUUAGUACAUAUAGUUUCGGGGAAAUAGAGUUAUAUUUUGGAUUUUAGAUAUAAGAUUAAAUAUAAGAUUUGGUAUAAGAUAGAUCGACCACGUGUAUGUAUGAUUAUCGAAAUUUGAAUCUAUAAAUACACAACUUAAGUCUACCUUAACUAUUUGUGGUGUGGUGCAGUUUUGUGACAUUUUGAAAGCGGCUGACAUUUUAAAAGCUGUUCGUGUAUCACUGGUGAUCUGUUUAUCUUGUUAGUGGUUUAUUUAGUUAACUUGUAUUAUUAAGCAAAGCUUAAAUAACAGCAACAUUUUUGUGGCAACUUAGCUAACAUGUAUUUUAGUGAAUAAUUUUGUCUUACAUGUUGUUAAAUUGUUAACGUGAGUUAAUGAAUUCAAUUGAAUAUUUAAUUUACAAUUAUUGUCUAUAACAUUGUUCGCUUUUCGUUUUUAUUAACAAGACCAUUUUUAUGGUUUUAUAAUUCCACCACGGGCCAGAGACGUCGUGUUGAAGUUGCUCGGUCGCUAAAAGCCAUGGGCGCGGAACAGGAAGCGACCACCGGUCUUUCGGAACCAUAGCUGCCGGCGCCGGAAAUAGAGCACGAAAUUGCGUCCGAACCGGGUACGAGCGCCCAAGGUUGUGAGCAAGUUCCAGACAAUAUUCGUCGCGGUCUUCGCGGGAACCUUUGCACCGGAUGCGUUUUCCCCGAGACGCGUUAUGAUGCGGACUCCGUUUUCCAACACCUGCUCUUUUUUGUCGAUCCAGACCUCCUCGUGCAGAUCGGUGUCCCGCAGACGACACGUCUCUGACGUCACAUCCACUUUGUUGAAAAGAGCGCCAUGGUUAGGAACCACUAUGGUGCCGUUAGGAAAGCAUCGGGUGCCUACUAUGAGAGAAACAUCACGAUUAACUAUUUCGUUGUUUACUUUCGUUUCGAGUUCAGAAGAAUGAACAAAAAUGAUGCAUCGAUAAUAUUUUACCAACUUCAUUUAGAAGGUUAAUACUACAUCAAAGGCAUGGACAGACAGAUUUGUUCAUGAUUCUCAAAAAUGAGCUCAAUGGUGCAAGAAAUAUGAUCUUUCAUUAUAUAUAUGUGAUAGCGCUUUGAAAAUAAUUAUGCGCGUUUACAUCACUGGCAAUAACAGCUGUCUUAUUUGUCCAUAUACUUGUUUACACGUUAAUAACAAAUAUGUAUAUUUAACAAAAUAUUCAUUAAACUUGGUAAAAUAAAUAUAAUCACACAAUAUAAGGAGUUCUUUCCGAACAAGUGCGAACAGUCACUGUAUUCCAUUUUAAUAUAUGUGUGUACAUCAAUAAACACACAAAUAUUGUAAAAUAA